AUAAAUCUCUGUUUCUCUUUCUACCAGUGAAAGAAUAGACUGUGGAGGAACUCUGAUCCACCCUCAGUGGGUCCUAACUUCUGAUUUGUGCUUGAGCUCCAGUCAGCCUUCAGCUGUGAGGGUAGUGCUGGGUAUGCACUCACUUAGAGCCACUGAGCCAUCAAGACAAGUGAGGAUGCUUGAGAAAAUCGUGACUGGACCAGAUGGAUCAAAUAUUGCUCUGCUCAAACUAGCAACACCUGCGGUGAUAAACAACCAAGUGCAGCCGGCUUGUCUGCCAAAAAAGGACUAUAUAGUUACUGGUGGAACAAUGUGUUAUGUUACUGGAUGGGGUAGGACUCAAGGUAUUGGAGGUGGACGUAUCCUGGAAGAAACUGGUUUCCCUGUGAUCGACAACAAAAUCUGUAAUCGCGACAGUGAUAUAGUUGCAGACCACGAAAUAUGUGCUGGAAAUACAGAGGGAGGAAAACCAAGCUGCCAGGU